UACGUAGGGGGCAAGCGUUAUCCGGAUUUACUGGGUGUAAAGGGAGCGUAGGCGGCGAUGCAAGUCAGAAGUGAAAGCCCGGGGCUCAACUCCGGGACUGCUUUUGAAACUGUAUGGCUAGAUUGCAGGAGAGGCAAGUGGAAUUCCUAGUGUAGCGGUGAAAUGCGUAGAUAUUAGGAGGAACACCAGUGGCGAAGGCGGCUUGCUGGACUGUAAAUGACGCUGUGGCUCGAAAGCGUGGGGAGCAAACAGG
rnacentral:rRNA from 1 species